rnacentral:rRNA from 1 species
GACGGAGGAUGCAAGUGUUAUCCGGAAUCACUGGGCGUAAAGCGUCUGUAGGUGGUUUAAUAAGUCAACUGUUAAAUCUUGAGGCUCAACCUCAAAAUCGCAGUCGAAACUAUUAGACUAGAGUAUAGUAGGGGUAAAGGGAAUUUCCAGUGGAGCGGUGAAAUGCGUAGAGAUUGGAAAGAACACCGAUGGCGAAGGCGCUUUACUGGGCUAUUACUAACACUCAGAGACGAAAGCUAGGGUAGCAAAUGGG